rnacentral:misc_RNA from 1 species
GAACGCACAUUGCGCCCGCCAGUAUUCUGGCGGGCAUGCCUGUUCGAGCGUCAUUUCAACCCUCAAGCCCCCGGGCUUGGUGUUGGAGAUCGGCGUGCCCCCCCGGGGCGCGCCGGCUCCCAAAUAUAGUGGCGGUCUCGCUGUAGCUUCCUCUGCGUAGUAGCACACCUCGCACUGGAAAACAGCGUGGCCACGCCGUUAAACCCCCCACUUCUGAAAGGUUGACCUCGGAUCAGGUAGGAAUACCCGCUGAACUUAAG